rnacentral:rRNA from 1 species
UACAGAGGUCUCAAGCGGUGUUCGGAUUCAUUGGGCGUAAAGGGUGCGUAGGCGGCGCGGUAAGUCGGGUGUGAAAGCUUGGAGCUUAACUCCGAAACUGCAUUCGAUACUGCCGUGCUUGAGGACUGGAGAGGAGACUGGAAUUUACGGUGUAGCGGUGAAAUGCGUAGAUAUCGUAAGGAAGACCAGUGGCGAAGGCGGGUCUCUGGACUGGUAUUGACGCUGAGGUGCGAAAGCGUGGGGAGCAAACAGG